rnacentral:ncRNA from 1 species
UCUUAUCCAGAGUGGCAGAGGGACUGGCCCUAUGAAGCCCAGCAACCAGCAUUUUGCAUUGGUGCUAAUUCCAGCGGUUUUUUACCGAAAGAUAAGA